UACGUAGGGUGCAAGCGUUAAUCGGAAUUACUGGGCGUAAAGCGUGCGCAGGCGGCUUUGCAAGACAGAUGUGAAAUCCCCGGGCUUAACCUGGGAACUGCAUUUGUGACUGCAUGGCUGGAGUGCGGCAGAGGGGAUGGAAUUCCGGCGUGUAGCAGUGAAAUGCGUAGAUAUGCGGAGGAACACCGAUGGCGAAGGCAGUCCCCUGGGCCUGCACUGACGCUCAUGCACGAAAGCGUGGGGAGCAAACAGG
rnacentral:rRNA from 1 species